AAAGGACCCAACCCACAAAUCCCCAAGAAACCCAGCAAAAUGGAAAACAACACAACCCAAAGAUAACAUAAAAACCCAACACCCCAAAGCAAUAAUUGACCAACCCAACCCUAUAAAGAAAAAAACACCAUGAAAAUCCUAAUUUGGAGAUUACUAGGUGUGAAACACCUGCAUUUGGAAGGGCAUUUCUGGGGCUUGUCUGGAACGGGUUUUCUGCAGUGCGUCAGUUAUCUGGAGCGGAUCAUCUGCUGCAGGUUAUCCCAGGAUGAGCAGAGCAGGGUCCUGGCAGUGCAGAGGCGAGGCGAGGCGCUGCCAAGCCAACGAAGCCCAAGGCUCAG